GUUGGAAUCAGCUGCCAUGAUUUUGGUGCAGUCCUACAAAGAGCUGGGGAGGACAUCAGAAAUACUGAAGCAGCUGAAAAUGCUAUUUGGAUCAGUCAGUGCUGUUCCUGCCCAAGUUUUCCUUACUGGGGUGUGUCUCCAGAUACCAGAUGGCCCUUCUGCUGAAGUUCAAGAAAUUCUAGAGGAGUUCCUUAUGAAGUGGAGAUAUGUUGAUGGAAAGUAUUAUACUGUUGCAAG
rnacentral:misc_RNA from 1 species